rnacentral:rRNA from 1 species
GUUAGGAAUCUUCCACAAUGGGGGCAACCCUGAUGGAGCAACACCGCGUGCUGGAUGAAGGCCUUCGGGUCGUAAACAGCUUUUGUAUACGAAGAAUAUGACGGUAAUAUACGAAUAAGGGUCGGCUAACUACGUGCCAGCAGCCGCGGUCAUACGUAGGACCCAAGCGUUAUCCGGAGUGACUGGGCGUAAAGAGUUGCGUAGGCGGCUUAUUAAGCGAGUAGUGAAAUCUGGUGGCGCAACCAUCAACACAUUGCUCGAACUGAUAGGCUUGAGAAUGGUAGAGGUAGUUGGAAUUUCUUGUGUAGGAGUGAAAUCCGUAGAUAUAAGAAGGAACACCAAUGGCGUAGGCAGACUACUGGACCAUUUCUGACGCUGAGGCACGAAAGCGUGGGGAGCGAACCGGAUUAGAAACCCCAGUAGUCC